rnacentral:rRNA from 1 species
GAUGAACGCUGGCGGCGUGCUUAACACAUGCAAGUCGAACGGAAAGGCCCAAGCUUGCUUGGGUACUCGAGUGGCGAACGGGUGCGUAACACGUGGGUGAUCUGCCCUGCACUUCGGGAUAAGCCUGGGAAACUGGGUUUACUAACGGACAGGACGAUGGUUUGGAUGCCAUUGUGGAAAGCUUUGUCGGUGUAGGAUGAGCUCGCGGCCUAUCAGCUUGUUGGUGGGGUAGUGGCCUACCAGGGCGUCGACGGGUAGCCGGCCCAAGAGGGUGUACGGCCGCAUCGGGCUCGAGAGGCCGCCCAGACUGCGGCGUGAGGCAGCAUGGGCGAAUGUUUGACAAAGGGCGCCAGCCUGAGUCAGGGAGGCCUCGGGGUGGUUGACGGCCUUCGGUUGGAAAACACCGUACGCGAGGGACGAAGCGUUGUUGUGACGGUACCUAAAGAAGAAGCACCGGCUAACUUCGUG